rnacentral:tRNA from 1 species
GGCUCGUUGGUCUAGGGGUAUGAUUCUUGCUUAGGGUGCGAGAGGUCCAGGGUUCAAAUCCCGGACGAGCCA